CCUACGGGAGGCAGCAGUGGGGAAUCUUGCGCAAUGGGCGAAAGCCUGACGCAGCCAUGCCGCGUGAAUGAUGAAGGUCUUAGGAUUGUAAAAUUCUUUCACCGGGGACGAUAAUGACGGUACCCGGAGAAGAAGCCCCGGCUAACUUCGUGCCAGCAGCCGCGGUAAUACGAAGGGGGCUAGCGUUGCUCGGAAUUACUGGGCGUAAAGGGAGCGUAGGCGGAUAGUUUAGUCAGAGGUGAAAGCCCAGGGCUCAACCUUGGAAUUGCCUUUGAUACUGGCUAUCUUGAGUACGGAAGAGGUAUGUGGAACUCCGAGUGUAGAGGUGAAAUUCGUAGAUAUUCGGAAGAACACCAGUGGCGAAGGCGACAUACUGGUCCGUUACUGACGCUGAGGCUCGAAAGCGUGGGGAGCAAACAGGAUUAGAUACCCUGGUAGUCCACGCUGUAAACGAUGAGUGCUAGUUGUCGGCAUGCAUGCAUGUCGGUGGACGCAGCUAACGACAUUAAGUACACCUCCGCCCGUCGGGGAGGUACGGGUCCGGCGAACGAAUUAAAACUUAACGAAACGGAAAGUUAGUACGGCGUGAGACGUGCCGAACGGACGACCGACCGAGGGAGGUUAGG
rnacentral:rRNA from 1 species